UUUUCAAAACGUAUCACGAUCGUUUUUGUCACAUUUGAAAAUUUUAAUUUUAAUGUCAAAUUGACAUGAUAUUUUAAAUUAUUUGACACUACGAACAACUUCAAACAAUGAAUUAUCUAUCAAAAUAUCGCGCAAUAACUAAUUAAUUAUUGACUAACGCAGCCAUGGCUAACAAUUUAUUAUUGUCGGGGUUCUAUUCUGAUAUCAACUUACUGGUGGGCGAGUUCCCGGGGCUCACCCAUAAAUAAUUUACUUUAUGAGACAGCAAGAGUAAUUUUCGAUAAAUCUACUCUUCAAUUGGUAUGCAUGCCGCUUGUACCUUGAUGGGCGUUGCACCGGUUACAAAUACUUUGUACCUGACUCACGUGGAUUGUGGAAUCUACGAGCUAUUGAGGAAAUCGCCGGACUUCCGCCCUCCCCUGGGGAUGGAGGGCGGGGCAUAUCGGAGUCGAACUGACUAAAACCUCCUGUCGCUCAACAACCCGCGUCCGAACCUCGCAUGAGACAGAACCCAUGAAAAGGCAAAGGGGGGAAAGUGAAGCGUUUAGUGCGGAGCACAUCUCUCCCAUCACCCUCCCCCUCGGGACGCCGGACCAGCGGUCGUCGGCGCCACGACCACCAGCCCUCUCGGUCGGCAGGCUAUCCGGAGCCCGCCUAGAUGGCGCCGGUACCACUACAAACUUGUCACAUGUCGCACGUAUGCAUAAUCACUAAAACUAUAUUACAUUGAGACAUAGAUGAGACAUCAUAAGACAUAGAUCUCAAGUCGGUGGAUAGUGGCAUUCACGUUGUAUAUAUCUAUGGGAUCGGAACGCCAAAUUUAACCGUAAUAUAUUGACAAGGUAACAUCCAUCUUUAAUUCGUCGGGCUCGGUGAGAUUAUACUGAGAUAUGCUGAGUGAAAUUAGAAGUAAAAGGGAAAUAAUUCCACUUUAGUUUAAUACACAAAACUAAAUACCAUCAUGAAAUAUACGAUAAACAUUUCAGUCUAGGCCGUUAAAAGUAUUCGACAUAUGCUUCACGAGCUAAACGAAAAAUCCCAAUCCCAAUUAAACAGUCCCAAGGUUAUUAAUUCGACUUCGUGUGUAAUGACAUGUAAUAUUAUGGCGAUUUCCACUCGCAAGUGGUACAUGCCGACACACACAGUCAUACAACAAUUCGAUAACGGAAUUCUGUAGUGAUAAGUUUGUAAAUAAAAUAAAAAUAUAUGCGUUUACGUAAUAAGUAAUUAAUUGAUAUCGAAGACGAAAAGCUCUUGGACCUAAGCGAUACUUUAAAAUCGCAACUGAAGAACUAUAAAUAACAAUCUUUUUUGAUAAAAAAAUAAUAAUAUAACAAUA